rnacentral:rRNA from 1 species
AACAAACGCUGGCGGCGUGCCUAAUACAUGCAAGUCGAACGGGGAAAGCUUUCGGGUGAGUACUAGUGGCGCACGGGUGAGUAACGCGUGGAUAAUCUGCCUUAGAGUGGGGGAUAACUAGUCGAAAGAUUAGCUAAUACCGCAUAAGACCACAAGAACUGCGGUUAAAGGGGUCAAAGGUUUUUCGCUCUAAGAUGAGUCCGCGUAAGAUUAGCUAGUUGGUGAGGUAAUGGCUCACCAAGGCGACGAUCUUUAACUGGUCUGAGAGGAUGAUCAGUCACACUGGAACUGAGACACGGUCAAGACUCCUACGGGAGGCAGCAGUAGGGAAUAUUGCACAAUGGAGGAAACUCUGAUGCAGCGACGCCGCGUGAGUGAUGAAGGCCUUCGGGUCGUAAAGCUCUGUCGCAAGGGAAUAACACAAUGAAUGUACCUUGCAAGAAAGGAUCGGCUAACUUCGUGCCAGCCGCCGCAGUAAUAC